AGUGAACGCUGGCGGUAGGCCUAACACAUGCAAGUCGAACGGCAGCACAGUAAGAGCUUGCUCUUACGGGUGGCGAGUGGCGGACGGGUGAGGAAUACAUCGGAAUCUACUUUUUCGUGGGGGAUAACGUAGGGAAACUUACGCUGAUACCGCAUACGACCUACGGGUGAAAGCAGGGGAUCUUCGGACCUUGCGCGAUUGAAUGAGCCGAUGUCGGAUUAGCUAGUUGGCGGGGUAAAGGCCCACCAAGGCGACGAUCCGUAGCUGGUCUGAGAGGAUGAUCAGCCACACUGGAACUGAGACACGGUCCAGACUCCUACGGGAGGCAGCAGUGGGGAAUAUUGGACAAUGGGCGCAAGCCUGAUCCAGCCAUACCGCGUGGGUGAAGAAGGCCUUCGGGUUGUAAAGCCCUUUUGUUGGGAAAGAAAAGCAGCAGGUUAAUACCCCGCUGUUCCGACGGUACCCAAAGAAUAAGCACCGGCUAACUUCGUG
rnacentral:rRNA from 1 species